rnacentral:rRNA from 1 species
CUCUUAGAUGUUCUGGGCCGCACGCGCGCUACACUGAUGCAUUCAACGAGUCUAAAACCUGCUCUGAUAGGGGUGGGUAAUCUUUUGAAUGUGCAUCGUGAUUGGGAUAGAUGAUUGCAAUUUUUCAUCUUCAACGAGGAAUGCCUAGUAAACGCAAGUCAUCAGCUUGCAUUGAUUACGUCCCUGCCCUUUGUACACACCGCCCGUCGCUCCUACCGAUUGAAUGAUCCGAUGAAUAUCAUGGAUUGAGGAUGCAAGUAGGUUCGCCUAUCUUCAUCUUCGAGAAGUGAAGUAAAUCUUAUCAUUUAGAGGAAGGAGAAGUCGUAACA